ACAAGGUGCUGCAUGGUUGUCGUCAGCUCGUGCCGUGAGGUGUCGGUUAAGUCCCAUAACGAGCGCAACCCUAUCAUUAGUUGCCAUCAGGUCAAGCUGGGGACUCUAAUGAAACUGGCCUACGCAAGUAGUGAGGAAGGUGGGGAUGACGUCAAAUCAGCACGGCCCUUACGUCCAGGGCUACACACGUGCUACAAUGGCCGGUACAAAGGGCAGCUACCUGGUGACAGGAUGCAAAUCUCCAAAGUCGGUCUCAGUUCGGAUCGGAGUCUGCAACCCGACUCCGUGAAGUUGGAUUCGCUAGUAAUCGCGCAUCAGCCAUGGCGCGGUGAAUACGUUCCCGGGCCUU
rnacentral:rRNA from 1 species